UACAGAGGGUGCAAGCGUUAAUCGGAUUUACUGGGCGUAAAGGGCGCGUAGGUGGUUGCGUAAGUGAGAUGUGAAAGCCCCGGGCUCAACCUGGGAACUGCAUCUUAUACUGCGUAGCUGGAGUGAAGUAGAGGGUAGUGGAAUUUCCGGUGUAGCGGUGAAAUGCGUAGAUAUCAGGAGGAACACCAAUGGCGAAGGCAGCACUCUGGGACGUGACUGACGCUGAGACGCGAAAGCGUGGGGAGCAAACAGG
rnacentral:rRNA from 1 species